GAAAUAAAAAAAAUUAAAAUUAAGCUUCUAACUUAAAUUUUUAGUGGUGUAACUCCAUUAUUAUUUCU
rnacentral:tRNA from 1 species